rnacentral:rRNA from 1 species
CCUACGGGAGGCAGCAGUGGGGAAUAUUGGGCAAUGGGCGCAAGCCUGACCCAGCAACGCCGCGUGAAGGAAGAAGGCUUUCGGGUUGUAAACUUCUUUUGUCAGGGACGAGUAGAAGACGGUACCUGACGAAUAAGCCACGGCUAACUACGUACCAGCAGCCGCGGUAAUACGUAGGUGGCAAGCGUUGUCCGGAUUUACUGGGUGUAAAGGGCGUGUAGCCGGGUUGACAAGUCAGAUGUGAAAUCUUUCGGCUUAACCGCAGAACUGCAUUUGAAACUGUUGUUCUUGAGUACUGGAGAGGCAGAUGGAAUUCCGAGUGUAGCGGUGAAAUGCGUAGAUAUUAGGAGGAACACCAGUGGAGAAGGCGGUCUGCUGGACAGCAACUGACGGUGAGGCGCGAAAGCGUGGGGAGCAAACAGGAUUAGAUACCCUAGUAGUC